rnacentral:misc_RNA from 1 species
GGGCUCGGGCUUCUUGAUGCGGUUCCACACGCGCGUGUUACGGCCGAACACCUCGUGAGCCGAUUGGGUCACGUCGGCGAGCGUCCGCUUGUCGUCGGGCAGCUCGCGCCAGCAGGCGUCAAGCGCCUGGCGGACGAGGUGAUCCACCCCGUGGGGCCCGAGCACGUGGAACAAUUCCGACGGCGACUUGGCCGUCCAGCGGUAGGCUUCCCAGCUCAUGUCACGCAAUGAUACGCGCGAACGCCGUGGACGCACUC